GACGAACGCUGGCGGCGUGCUUAACACAUGCAAGUCGAGCGGAAAGGCCCUGCGUUUUUCUCGUGCUCCAAACGCGUGAGUGACAGUAACACAAGCGUACCCUGCCCUUGACAUUGCGAUCACUUCAGGAAACUGAUGCUAAUACCGGCUCGGAGCUCCUGCUGCACGGUGUGGAUUGGUAAGCGUCGGCGGUUGGGGAUGGACUCGCGGCGUAUCAGCUUGUUGGUGGGGUAGUGGCUUACCAAGGCUUGGACGGGUAGCCGGCCUGAGAGGGUGACCGGCCACACUGGGACUGAGACACGGCCCAGACUCCUACGGGAGGCAGCAGUGGGGAAUAUUGCACAAUGGGCGGAAGCCUGAUGCAGCGACGCCGCGUGAGGGAUGACGGCCUUCGGGUUGUAAACCGCUUUCGGCUGUGACGAAGCGUGAGUGACGGUACCUGGAGAAGAAGCGCCGGCUAACUACGUG
rnacentral:rRNA from 1 species